UGCUCUCGUUAUCAAUCCCAGAUUUAGGUUGAUAAAAUGUAUUUUCUUCCAGGUAAAAUGUUGUGUCUCUUAAAACCUCUGAAGGUUGUUUUUGUUUGUUUAUUUGUUUGUUGUUGUUUUUAAUCAAGGCUCUUGCAACUGCUGGCCCUUGCUGGAGAAAAUUCUAGUUUAAGAACUGAUCAUAGCAUAGAGGAAUGCCAAUCAAAUGGAAUAUACAGAAACAGGAUGGCUGACAAAUGUCCUACCAGAGAGGUGAACUCAAGUUAUAAUUGGCCACUUGCAAAGAGAAAAAGAAGAGAAUGAAGCUCUGGGAAGGACAAGAUGUUUGUGUAUCCACGACGUUAGGACUCUCCUCUAUUUGCUGCUGACUUCCGUCUGAGGCAUUUGAGCACGGACUAUCUCUUGAAGAGGAAAUCAUUUUUCACAGGCAAGUCAGAAUGACAGACCUUGCAAAUAAAGAUGUUGUGUUGAUACAGAUAUGAAAACCAAAGCCUACCCGCAGCCACAAUUAGGUGUCUAGUUAGCAGAGUAUCUACCAGUCUUCUUGAAAGCUGGCCAUCUUUCAUCUAAAUAUAGAAGAUGAAAAAUUAUUGGUGGGACAGACCAUCUUUUUAGACAUAGCAUACAAUUAAGGCUUCCAUAGUGUGGCUCAAAUGGAGAAAAUAUCUUGAUAUUUUAAUUUUCUUAAUCUGGUAUAAUUUGCCGGUUUACUGUCUGACAUUUUCUAACAUCUA